AUUCAUUCUUUCCUCCGAAAUUUAACAACACAGCGCCGCUCCCUCGCCCUAGCAGACAUUUGAGACUCCCUCGCCUGCCCCGACACCUCCUUCCCUAUUAGGUGCGGUCAUACGGAACGCAGCUUCUCAAUAUUGAUAGGAGUUUCACAGUUUGCUUAGUACGUGGAAGUGGCAACCUUCAAGUAUCAAAGAAAAAUCCCUUCCAAGACAUUUGUUUGAUUGUGUUCAAGGUUGGCUGAUUCUAUGUAGUGGUUGGCUUCAUUUGAUGAGAGAAAAUUGCGGGGAUGGUUGUUUGUCUCAAUUGGCUCUAUUUUCUUUGUUGGGUAUUUCUUUGUUGUUGUUAUUUCCAAGCUUCUCCCACCUUCAAACAUUGCCCUCAUUUCUGCGUUGUAAAAUGACUGGUAAUUAAUUAAUUAAUUAGUUCUGAUAUUGAGACGUGAUUC